GACGAACGCUGGCGGCGUGCUUAACACAUGCAAGUCGAACGAUGAAGCCUAGCUUGCUAGGUGGAUUAAUGGCGAACGGGUGAGUAAUACGUGAGUGACCUACCUUUGACUCUGGGAUAAGCCUGGGAAACUGGGUCUAAUACCGGAUACGACCAAUCUCCGCAUGGGGUGUUGGUGGAAAGCGUUAUGGAGUGGUUUUAGAUGGGCUCACGGCCUAUCAGCUUGUUGGUGAGGUAAUGGCUUACCAAGGCGACGACGGGUAGCCGGCCUGAGAGGGUGACCGGCCACACUGGGACUGAGACACGGCCCAGACUCCUACGGGAGGCAGCAGUGGGGAAUAUUGCACAAUGGGCGCAAGCCUGAUGCAGCGACGCCGCGUGAGGGAUGACGGCCUUCGGGUUGUAAACCUCUGUUAGCAUCGAAGAAGCGAAAGUGACGGUAGGUGCAGAGAAAGCGCCGGCUAACUACGUG
rnacentral:rRNA from 1 species